rnacentral:rRNA from 1 species
CGCCCGCCGCGCGCGGCGGGCCUACGGGAGGCAGCAGUGAAGAAUAUUGGUCAAUGGGCGGAAGCCUGAACCAGCCAAGUAGCGUGCAGGAUGACGGCCCUAUGGGUUGUAAACUGCUUUUAUACAGGAAUAAAGUUAGCCACGUGUGGUUAUUUGUAGGUACUGUAUGAAUAAGGACCGGCUAAUUCCGUGCCAGCAGCCGCGGUAAUA